GGGAAGCCGGUCGAAUUCCGGCGCUGACCCGCAACCGUAGGCCCGGCUCGUCCCGGGUGAGUCGGAAUGCC
rnacentral:ncRNA from 2 species